CAUGUGGGCGUGUGUUGAGAGAGUGUGUGGUGCUUUUUGAGUUUAGUAAAUGACUGCAGCAAGAAAUACAGCGGGGCUGAGGGGCUUAUGAGCGAUGGAACAAGCUCUGUGUGCCGAAAUAUCAACGUUUGGGCUUUUCUGACGAGGAUUCAAGAAAGGCAUUGAAACCGAAAAUGAUCAGCGUCUCCUAACUGGACCAGACAAUGGAAGUAGCUUCAUGCAGCGCUAACAUUUCACCCCUGGCAAACGAGAACGCACUAAAUCAGACUACCUCAGCCAGAGGUAGCUAAAACUGUCGCGUGGCUCGUAAAAGCGGCACGUUUGUUCAUAGGGACGCGCGUGAAAGGGAGCGCGGACCAAAAUAACCAACGCGUAUGUAUAUAUUUCCAGUGACUUUGGAGACAUCCCGGCGCUCUGAGGAGAUAUUGUGCAUAGUUUCGGUUGUUUUAAAUCUUUGCGAUGGAGCGUCUUUGAAUAUUGGCGACUGCGCACGUAAUGCUGCUAUGGAUCGUCCGGAAUGAACAUCUCAAUUGGUCUCAUCGAGUUGUUUUUCACAGCGCUGCUUCCACCUGAAAUUCCGCAGCUCCGCUUCACCUGCACAGCCGCUGUCGGGAAGAUGACCAGCUCCUUGUCUGUAUGCUCCUGAGAUGUGUUUGGCCUUCCUGGGAAUCUGAAACGAGUAAAGGACGAAUUGUUCCCCUCAGAAGUGAGAGAAGAAGGAAUUGUAGCGUGCACUGAGCUGUAGCGAACUACAUCCGUCCUCUCAUCUCCAACCUGACACGAUGUUCGCACUCGGGAUUUAUUUGUGGGAAACUAUUGUAUUUUUCAGCUUGGCAGCGUCCCAACAAGCAGCGGCUCGGAAAGCUGCCACCCCAAUGCCCCCCUCAGAAUUCCUGGACAAGCUUAUGGGAAAAGUGUCCGGUUAUGAUGCAAGAAUCAGACCUAAUUUCAAAGACCCACAAGGCUCCAAAUCGGAUGGUACUCACAAGAAAG